rnacentral:rRNA from 1 species
AGACGUCUACAUUAGAUACCCCCGUAGUCCCAGCCGUAAACUAUGCGCGUUAGGUGUAUCGGUGACCACGAGUUACCGAGGUGCCGAAGGGAAACCGUGAAACGUGCCGCCUGGGAAGUACGGUCGCAAGGCUGAAACUUAAAGGAAUUGGCGGGGAGCACCACAACAGGUGGAGCCUGCGGUUUAAUUGGACUCAACGCCGGGAAGCUCACCGGAUAAGACAGCAGAAUGAUUGCCGGGCUGAAGACUCUGCAUGACUAGCUG